CAAUAGCGUAUAUUAAAGUUGUUGCAGUUAAAAAGCUCGUAGUUGGAUUUCUGGGAGGGUGCCAAUGUCCGUCAACGUGCGUGUGCAGCGGCGCCCUUCCAUCCUUCUGUUAACGCCUCUGGGCAUUUACUGGCCGGUGGCGGGCUCAGAUAUUUUACCUUGAGAAAAUUAGAGUGUUUCAGGCAGGCUAGGCCGGAAUACAUUAGCAUGGAAUAAUAGAAUAGGACUAUGGUCUCUUUGUUGGUUUGAGGGACUAUGGUAAUGAUUAAUAGGGAUAGUUGGGGGCAUUAGUAUUUAAUUGUCAGAGGUGGAAUUCUCAGAUUUGUUAAAGACUAACUUAUGCGAAAGCAUUUGCCAAGGAUGUUUUCAUUAA
rnacentral:rRNA from 1 species